GAUGAAGAACGUAGCGAAAUGCGAUAAGUAAUGUGAAUUGCAGAAUUCAGUGAAUCAUCGAAUCUUUGAACGCACAUUGCGCCCGCCAGUAUUCUGGCGGGCAUGCCUGUCCGAGCGUCAUUUCAACCAUCAAGCCCCGGGCUUGUGUUGGGGACCUGCGUCCGACGCAGGCCCUGAAAACCAGUGGCGGGCUCGCUGUCCACACCGAGCGUAGUAACUAACCUCGCUAUGGAGUGGCGCGGGCGCCUGCCGUAAAACCCCCAAUUUUUACAAGGUUAACCUCGGAUCAGGUAGGAAUACCCGCUGAACUUAAGCAUAUCAAUAAGCGGAGGA
rnacentral:misc_RNA from 1 species